GACGAACGCUGGCGGCGUGCUUAACACAUGCAAGUCGAACGGAAAGGCCCUGCUUUUGUGGGGUGCUCGAGUGGCGAACGGGUGAGUAACACGUGAGUAACCUGCCCUUGACUUUGGGAUAACUUCAGGAAACUGGGGCUAAUGCCGGAUAGGAGCUCCUGCUGCAUGGUGGGGGUUGGAAAGUUUCGGCGGUUGGGGAUGGACUCGCGGCUUAUCAGCCUGUUGGUGGGGUAGUGGCUUACCAAGGCUUUGACGGGUAGCCGGCCUGAGAGGGUGACCGGCCACAUUGGGACUGAGAUACGGCCCAGACUCCUACGGGAGGCAGCAGUGGGGAAUAUUGCACAAUGGGCGGAAGCCUGAUGCAGCAACGCCGCGUGCGGGAUGACGGCCUUCGGGUUGUAAACCGCUUUCGCCUGUGACGAAGCGUGAGUGACGGUAAUGGGUAAAGAAGCACCGGCUAACUACGUG
rnacentral:rRNA from 1 species